AGCAGCCGCGGUAAUUCCAGCUCCAAUAGCGUAUAUUAAAGUUGUUGCAGUUAAAAAGCUCGUAGUUGAAUUUCGGGGUCAGUAGAUUGGUCGUGCCACUGGUAUGUACUGGUCUUACUGGCUCCUCCUUCCUGAUGAACCGUAAUGCCAUUAAUUUGGUGUUGCGGGGAAACUGGACUGUUACUUUGAAAAAAUUAGAGUGUUUAAAGCAGGCUAACGCUUGAAUACAUUAGCAUGGAAUAAUGAAAUCGGACGUUCGAUCUUAUUUUGUUGGUUUCUAGGAUUGACGUAAUGAUUAAUAGGGAUAGUUGGGGGCAUUAGUAUUCAAUUGUCAGAGGUGAAAUUCUUGGAUUUAU
rnacentral:rRNA from 1 species